CAACAGUAGCUAUCUUGACUUACAAAAAAAGGUUGCAGGUAAACGCCCGGAGGCGAGCUGAUUAUCGGAAGAAAAUAGAGGGUACGGUCAAGCUCCAAGAUGAAAAUCAUCAUUCCCUUACGAUGUCUGGACCCAACUCCAGCAACUUUGUAGCUCAGAGACAUAAUCAAAUUAAGGUGAGGAGAUGGCGAAAAAAAUGAAAGAAAGGACAGUCUGCUGACCCUAUAGCCUUGUGGCGGUGGAAUCAGGCAAUUAAAGCGUCUCUCAUAAGGGAUUAGCUCAGAAUGCCCAUCGUCGCAUACCUUCACAAGGAAGGAAAAGAAAAACAUUUAGAAAGAUAAUCAUACAUAUUGACUGUUAACAAUCAACUGAUUGCUGGUUCUGAACUCACAGGUAAGCCCUUGAUCUUAACAUCGUUUGUAUUUAUGUCUCUCAAAUUAUGUUUCAAAAUUAGGUUGCUCAAGUUAAGUUACCAAAAAUAUCACCCACUAUAUACAUAAACUGAUGGACCUCUG